rnacentral:tRNA from 1 species
AGUAAUAUGUCUGAAAAAGAUAUAUUUUGAUAAAAUAUUUAUGUAUAUAUUUAAAAUUAUACUAUUACUA